CCUACGGAGGGCAGCAGUGGGGAAUAUUGGACAAUGGGCGAAAGCCUGAUCCAGCCAUGCCGCGUGUGUGAAGAAGGCCUUCGGGUUGUAAAGCACUUUCAGUGGGGAAGAAAGCCUGGGGGCUAAUACCCUCCAGGAAUGACAUUACCCACAGAAGAAGCACCGGCUAACUCCGUGCCAGCAGCCGCGGUAAUACGGAGGGUGCGAGCGUUAAUCGGAAUUACUGGGCGUAAAGCGCGCGUAGGCGGUCUGAUAAGUCGGUUGUGAAAUCCCCGGGCUCAACCUGGGAACGGCAUCCGGAACUGUCAGGCUAGAGUGCAGGAGAGGAAGGUAGAAUUCCCGGUGUAGCGGUGAAAUGCGUAGAGAUCGGGAGGAAUACCAGUGGCGAAGGCGGCCAUCUGGACUGACACUGACGCUGAGGUGCGAAAGCGUGGGUAGCAAACAGGAUUAGAUACCCCAGUAGUC
rnacentral:rRNA from 1 species